UUACGGCCUUAUCACGUUGAAGCAUUGGUUCCCGUACGAUCACCGAAGUUAAGUAAUUUCGAGGCUGGUCGAUAGCUAAAUGGGUGAUCGAUUGGGAAUACCAGGUGUUGUAA